AGUGAACGCUGGCGGUAGGCCUAACACAUGCAAGUCGAACGGCAGCACAGUAAGAGCUUGCUCUUACGGGUGGCGAGUGGCGGACGGGUGCGGAAUACAUCGGUAUCUACUUUUUCGUGGGGGAUAACGUAGGGAAACUUACGCUAAUACCGCAUACGACCUACGGGUGAAAGCAUGGGAUCUUCGGACCUUGCGCGAUUGAAUGAGCCGAUGUCGGAUUAGCUAGUUGGCGGGGUAAAGGCCCACCAAGGCGACGAUCCGUAGCUGGUCUGAGAGGAUGAUCAGCCACACUGGAACUGAGACACGGUCCAGACUCCUACGGGAGGCAGCAGUGGGGAAUAUUGGACAAUGGGCGCAAGCCUGAUCCAGCCAUACCGCGUGGGUGAAGAAGGUCUUCGGGUUGUAAAGCCCUUUUGUUGGGAAAGAAAAGCAGCAGGUUAAUACCCCGCUGUUCUGACGGUACCCAAAGAAUAAGCACCGGCUAACUUCGUG
rnacentral:rRNA from 1 species